GAUGAACGCUGGCGGCGUGCCUAAUACAUGCAAGUCGAGCGAACAGACGAGGAGCUUGCUCCUCUGACGUUAGCGGCGGACGGGUGAGUAACACGUGGAUAACCUACCUAUAAGACUGGGAUAACUUCGGGAAACCGGAGCUAAUACCGGAUAAUCUAUUGAACCGCAUGGUUCAAUAGUGAAAGACGGUUUUGCUGUCACUUAUAGCUGGAUCUGGGCCGCAUUAGCUAGUAGGUAAGGUAAAGGCUUACCAAGGCAACGAGGCGUAGCCGACCGGAUAGGGGGAUCGGCCACAUUGGAAGGUAGACACGGACCAGACUCCUAAGGGAGGCAGCAGUAUGGUACCUUCCGCAAUGGGCGGAAACCUGACGGAGUAACGCCACGUGAGUGAUGAAGGUCUUCGGAGCGUAAAACUCUGUUUUGAGUGAAGAACAAAUGUGUAAGUAACUAUGCACGUCUUGACGGUACCUAGUCAGAAAGCCACGGCUAACUACGUG
rnacentral:rRNA from 1 species